rnacentral:rRNA from 1 species
CACGUAGGGCGCAAGCGUUGUCCGGAAUUAUUGGGCGUAAAGAGCUCGUAGGCGGUCUGUUGCGUCCGCUGUGAAAACUCGGGGCUUAACCCCGAGCCUGCAGUGGAUACGGGCAGACUAGAGGUAGGUAGGGGAGAAUGGAAUUCCCGGUGUAGCGGUGAAAUGCGCAGAUAUCGGGAAGAACACCGGUGGCGAAGGCGGUUCUCUGGGCCUUACCUGACGCUGAGGAGCGAAAGCGUGGGGAGCGAACAGG